CGCUGGCGGCAUGCCUAACACAUGCAAGUCGAACGAGACCUUCGGGUCUAGUGGCGCACGGGUGCGUAACACGUGGGAAUUUGCCUCGGGGUAUGGAAUAACUCAGGGAAACUUGAGCUAAUACCAUAUAAUGUCUUCGGACCAAAGAUUUAUCGCCCUGAGAUAAGCCCGCGUAGGAUUAGCUAGUUGGUGGGGUAAAGGCUCACCAAGGCGACGAUCCUUAGCUGGUCUGAGAGGAUGAUCAGCCACACUGGGACUGAGACACGGCCCAGACUCCUACGGGAGGCAGCAGUGGGGAAUAUUGGACAAUGGGCGAAAGCCUGAUCCAGCAAUGCCGCGUGAGUGAUGAAGGCCUUAGGGUUGUAAAGCUCUUUUACCCGAGAUGAUAAUGACAGUAUCGGGAGAAUAAGCUCCGGCUAACUCCGUG
rnacentral:rRNA from 1 species